GAUAUAAAAUGGCUGUCAAACAGAAAUCAGGGACCAAAUUCUCCUUUUCUUUCCCCCCCCCCCACUUCUAGCCAGAAUUUUCUGUUGCCUAUAAAUCUCACACAGAUAGAUAUCCUACUGACAGUUCAUAGUGGUCCCUCCCCUCAUGCUGAAAAAUUAAUAACAUUAAAUUUAGCCAUAAACAGCCAAGCAUAAUGGACAAAAACCAUAAUAAAAUCAUAAUAAAACCUGAAGGAUAGGGAUGGAAAUCCGUCCCAUUCUAAACCCAAAAAAAUUCAUUUAACGAAACCCUAUAGCAUUUGAGAUUUGCCCUUCA
rnacentral:lncRNA from 1 species